AACGAACGCUGGCGGCAUGCCUAACACAUGCAAAUCGAACGAGAUCUUCGGGUCUAGUGGCGCACGGGUGCGUAACGCGUGGGAAUCUGCCCUUUGGUUCGGAAUAACAGUUGGAAACGACUGCUAAUACCGGAUGAUGACGAAAGUCCAAAGAUUUAUCGCCAGAGGAUGAGCCCGCGUAGGAUUAGCUAGGUGGUGUGGUAAAGGCGCACCAAGGCGACGAUCCUUAGCUGGUCUGAGAGGAUGAUCAGCCACACUGGGACUGAGACACGGCCCAGACUCCUACGGGAGGCAGCAGUGGGGAAUAUUGGACAAUGGGCGAAAGCCUGAUCCAGCAAUGCCGCGUGAGUGAUGAAGGCCUUAGGGUUGUAAAGCUCUUUUACACGGGAUGAUAAUGACAGUACCGGGAGAAUAAGCUCCGGCUAACUCCGUGCCAGCAGCCGCCGUAA
rnacentral:rRNA from 1 species